rnacentral:rRNA from 1 species
GGCAAACGCUGGCGGCGUGCAUAAAACAUGCAAGUCGAACGGACCAAAGCCCGCAAGGGCUGAGGUCAGUGGCGAACGGCUGAGUAACACGUAGGUGACCUGCCCUGAAGUGGGGGACAACUCGUCGAAAGACGAGCUAAUACCGCAUGUGAUCACUGUUUCAUUUCAGUGCUCAAAGUCGUAAGACGCUUUAGGAGGGGCCUGCGGCCGAUUAGCUAGUCGGUGGGGUAAUGGCCUACCAAGGCUGCGAUCGGUAGUUGGUCUGAGAGGAUGACCAGCCAGACUGGGACUGAGACACGGCCCAGACUCCUACGGGAGGCAGCAGUUAGGAAUUUUUGUGCAAUGGGGGAAACCCUGACACAGCCACGCCGCGUGCGGGAUGAAGGCCUUCGGGUCGUAAACCGCUUUUCUCGAGGAAGACACCCGACGGUACUCGAGGGAAUAAGCAACGGGCUAACUACGUGCCAGCCGCCGCAGUAAAG